rnacentral:rRNA from 1 species
CGGGACGGGUGAGUAAUGUCUGGGAAACUGCCUGAUGGAGGGGGGUAACUACUGGAAACGGUAGCUAAUACCGCAUAACGUCGCAAGACCAAAGAGGGGGACCUUCGGGCUCUUGCCAUCGGAUGUGCCCAGAUGGGAUUAGCUAGUAGGUGGGGUAACGGCUCACCUAGGCGACGAUCCCUAGCUGGUCUGAGAGGAUGACCAGCCACACUGGAACUGAGACACGGUCCAG